GAUGAACGCUAGCUACAGGCUUAACACAUGCAAGUCGAGGGGAAACGACAUCGAAAGCUUGCUUUUGAUGGGCGUCGACCGGCGCACGGGUGAGUAACGCGUAUCCAACCUGCCCAUCACUUGUGAAUAACCUUGCGAAAGUAAGACUAAUACCCAAUGAUAUCCCACGAAGGCAUCGGAAUGGGAUUAAAGAUUUAUCGGUGAUGGAUGGGGAUGCGUCUGAUUAGCUUGUUGGCGGGGUAACGGCCCACCAAGGCAACGAUCAGUAGGGGUUCUGAGAGGAAGGGCCCCCACAUUGGAACUGAGACACGGUCCAAACUCCUACGGGAGGCAGCAGUGAGGAAUAUUGGUCAAUGGGCGAGAGCCUGAACCAGCCAAGUAGCGUGCAGGAAGACGGCCCUAGGGGUUGUAAACUGCUUUUAUAAGGGAAUAAAGUGGGUCACGUGUGACUUUUUGCAUGUACCUUAUGAAUAAGGACCGGCUAAUUCCGUG
rnacentral:rRNA from 1 species